rnacentral:rRNA from 1 species
GUGGCAAGCUUAACCGUAUAGGGGAGGCGAAGGGAAACCGAGUCUGAUAAGGGCGCAUAGUCGCGGGCAGUAGACCCGAAACCGGGUGAUCUAGUCAUGGCCAGGGUGAAGGUGCCGUAACAGGUACUGGAGGCCCGAACCCACGUCUGUUGCAAAAGACGGGGAUGAGCUGUGAUUAGGAGUGAAAAGCUAAUCGAACCCGGAGAUAGCUGGUUCUCCUCGAAAGCUAUUUAGGUAGCGCCUCGGACGAAUACUACUGGGGGUAGAGCACUGUUAUGGCUAGGGGGUCAUCGCGACUUACCAAACCAUUGCAAACUCCGAAUACCAGUACGUACUAUCCGGGAGACACACGGCGGGUGCUAACGUCCGUCGUGAAAAGGGAAACAACCCAGACCCACAGCUAAGGUCCCAAAUUCACUGCUAAGUGGAAAACGAUGUGGAAAGGCAUAGACAGCCAGGAGGUUGGCUUAGAAGCAGCCACCCUUUAAAGAAAGCGUAAUAGCUCACUGGUCGAGUCGGUCUGCGCGGAAGAUUUAACGGGGCUAAGCAGUGAACCGAAGCUUGGGGUGCGUAAAACUUCGGUUUUAUGCGCGGUAGAGGAGCGUUCCGUAAGCCUGCGAAGGUGGAUUGAGAAGUCUGCUGGAGGUAUCGGAAGUGCGAAUGCUGACAUGAGUAACGAUAAUGCGGGUGAAAAGCCCGCACGCCGAAAGCCCAAGGUUUCCUUGCGCAACGUUAAUCGACGCAGGGUUAGUCGGUCCCUAAGGCGAGGGCGAAAGCCGUAGUCGAUGGGAAGCAGGUUAAUAUUCCUGCACCUCGCGUGAGUGCGAUGGAGGGACGGAGAAGGUUAGGUGUACCGGGCGUUGGUUGUCCCGGGGAAAGGCGGUAGGUUUGAAUCUUUGGCAAAUCCGGGAUUCUUUAAGACCGAGCACCGAGACGAGCCUUUAUGGCGAAGUCACUGAUACCACGCUUCCAGGAAAAGCUCCUAAGCUUCAGCUCACGAAGACCGUACCGUAAACCGACACAGGUGGGUAGGAUGAGAAUUCUCAGGCGCUUGAGAGAACUCGGGUGAAGGAACUAGGCAACAUGGCACCGUAACUUCGGGAGAAGGUGCACCCUUUUUGGUGGCUCAUGCGAGCUAUAGCUGAAGAGGGUCGCAGAAACCAGGCCGCUGCGACUGUUUAUCAAAAACACAGCACUCUGCAAACACGAAAGUGGACGUAUAGGGUGUGACGCCUGCCCGGUGCUGGAAGGUUAAUUGAUGGGGUCAGCCGCAAGGCGAAGCUCUUGAUCGAAGCCCCAGUAAACGGCGGCCGUAACUAUAACGGUCCUAAGGUAGCGAAAUUCCUUGUCGGGUAAGUUCCGACCUGCACGAAUGGCGUAACGACAGCGGCGCUGUCUCCACCCGAGACUCAGUGAAAUUGAAAUCGCUGUGAAGAUGCAGCGUUCCCGUGGCAAGACGGAAAGACCCCGUGAACCUUUACUAUAGCUUUACACUGAACGUUGAGUUCGUCUGUGUAGGAUAGGUGGGAGGCUAUGAAACUGUGGCGCUAGCUGCAGUGGAGCCAUCCUUGAAAUACCACCCUGUCGUGCUUGACGUUCUAACCUAGAUCCGUUAUCCGGAUCAGGGACCGUGUAUGGUGGGUAGUUUGACUGGGGCGGUCUCCUCCUAAAGAGUAACGGAGGAGCACGAAGGUACGCUCAGCGCGGUCGGACAUCGCGCACUGUGUGCAAAGGCAUAAGCGUGCUUGACUGCAAGAUCGACGGAUCAAGCAGGUACGAAAGUAGGUCUUAGUGAUCCGGUGGUUCUGUAUGGAAGGGCCAUCGCUCAACGGAUAAAAGGUACUCCGGGGAUAACAGGCUGAUACCGCCCAAGAGUUCAUAUCGACGGCGGUGUUUGGCACCUCGAUGUCGGCUCAUCACAUCCUGGGGCUGUAGUCGGUCCCAAGGGUAUGGCUGUUCGCCAUUUAAAGUGGUACGCGAGCUGGGUUCAGAACGUCGUGAGACAGUUCGGUCCCUAUCUGCCAUGGGCGUUGGAAGUUUGAGAGGGGCUGCUCCUAGUACGAGAGGACCGGAGUGGACGAACCUCUGGUGUUCCGGUUGUCACGCCAGUGGCAUUGCCGGGUAGCUAUGUUCGGAAGCGAUAACCGCUGAAAGCAUCUAAGCGGGAAGCGCGCCUCAAGAUGAGACUUCCCGGGGCACAAGCCCCCUAAAGGAACCAUGUAGACUACGUGGUUGAUAGGUCAGGUGUGUAAGUACAGCAAUGUAUUGAGCUAACUGAUACUAAUGAUCCGUGCGGCUUGACCAU